UGGCUCAAUAAUGAGAUUACUUCAUGAACCCAGGAUUAUGAUUUAAUCUAAUUCUAUGUAACUAGAGUCCAUC
rnacentral:snoRNA from 1 species